rnacentral:rRNA from 1 species
CCCUUAGAUGUUCUGGGCCGCACGCGCGCUACACUGAUGCAUUCAACGAGCCUAUCCUUGACCGACAGGUCCGGGUAAUCUUUGAAUCUGCAUCGUGACGGGGAUAGAUUAUUGCAAUUAUUAAUCUUCAACGAGGAAUGCCUAGUAGGCGCAAGUCAUCAGCUUGCGUCGAUUACGUCCCUGCCCUUUAUACACACCGCCCGUCGCUCCUACCGAUUGGGUGUGCUGGUGAAAUGUUCGGAUCGGCCGUUUGUCGCGGUUUCCGCGUCAUGUGGCUGAGAAGUUCAUUAAACCCUCCCACCUAGAGGAAGGAGAAGUCGUAACA